rnacentral:rRNA from 1 species
CCUACGGGUGGCAGCAGUGGGGAAUAUUGCACAAUGGGGGAAACCCUGAUGCAGCGACGCCGCGUGAGUGAAGAAGUAAUUCGUUACGUAAAGCUCUAUCAGCAGGGAAGAAACACUGACCUUACGGUCAGCAGACGGUACCUGAGUAAGACGCCCCGGCUAACUACGUGCCAGCAGCCGCGGUAAUACGUAGGGGGCAAGCGUUAUCCGGAUUUACUGGGUGUAAAGGGGGCGUAGACGGUGCGCCAAGUUUGGAGUGAAAUGCCGCAGCUUAACUGCGGAACUGCUUUGGAAACUGGCGAACUAGAGUGCGGGAGGGGUAAGCGGAAUUCCUAGUGUAGCGGUGAAAUGCGUAGAUAUUAGGAGGAACACCGGUGGCGAAGGCGGCUUACUGGACCGUAACUGACGUUGAGGCUCGAAAGCGUGGGGAGCAAACAGGAUUAGAUACCCCAGUAGUC